rnacentral:rRNA from 1 species
UGGGGAAUAUUGGACAAUGGGCGAAAGCCUGAUCCAGCAAUGCCGCGUGAGUGAUGAAGGCCUUAGGGUUGUAAAGCUCUUUUACCAGGGAUGAUAAUGACAGUACCUGGAGAAUAAGCUCCGGCUAACUCCGUGCCAGCAGCCGCGGUAAUACGGAGGGAGCUAGCGUUGUUCGGAAUUACUGGGCGUAAAGCGUACGUAGGCGGUGACUCAAGUCAGAGGUGAAAGCCUGGAGCUCAACUCCAGAACUGCCUUUGAAACUAGGUCGCUAGAAUCACGGAGAGGUGAGUGGAAUUCCGAGUGUAGAGGUGAAAUUCGUAGAUAUUCGGAAGAACACCAGUGGCGAAGGCGGCUCACUGGACGUGUAUUGACGCUGAGGUACGAAAGCGUGGGGAGCAAACAGGAUUAGAUACCCUAGUAGUCCCUGAGCGGGC